AAACCAACUCAAAAGUGCUGGAACGCGCCCCCGAAGCUCUUUUCCCAUAUUCGCGCCCCUCCUGAAGCUCAAAUCGGAGGAGAGGCUCUGACCCCCGUUCUCUGCCCGAGCUCGGAUCUCCGCUCCCAUCUCCGAUACCGGCGAACGCUUCGGUCACAGGUUUUGGCUAUGGCUAUAAACUCCAUCCAGCUUAG